GCGCGUCUCGUCGCGGUCAGGAUUCGCCCGUGCCCCACGCUCGCGCUGCAGAACGUGCAAAAGGGUCAAAACCCUAGCCGCCAGCACUUCUCGUCAAGCCCGCGCCCCUUCCGCCUCGUCUCCUCCCUGCCCCCUCCUCUCCCACGAUGCCACCCUCGAGCCCGCGCCACCUCCACCUCGUCUCCUCCCCGCUCCCUCCUCUCCAACGCCGCCGCCCUCGAUGCGCCGUAAGGGACGACCAAGACAGCGGUUGGGUCGGCCAGAGGUAGAAGGCCAUGGCGAUUCAGCUGUCUGUGUGCGCAAGCAGCGGCGGUUCAUGGAGCGGAGCGAGUCCACACCCCCGUCGUUCUAGCCACACCCUCCGCGCCGCCUCCGCUUCCUCCUCCUCCUCUAUUUUUUUCGAUUUCGUCACCCGUCGGAGGCUGUUGCUGCUCGGGUCCCUGGGGGCGCCUCUGCGUGGCUGACGAGAGGAGGGGAGCAGUAGCCGCAGCAAGCAGGCCAUCGAGGAGGGCAAACGGCAGUGGGCCUCCACCCCGUCUCCUCCCUGCUCCCUCCUCUCCAACACCGCCGCCCUCGAUGCGCCGUAAGGGACGCCGUCGACAUGUCGGGGAUACGCAUCGAGCCCGCGCCGCCUCCACGUCGUCUCCUCCCCGCUCCCUCCUCUCCAACGCCGCCACCCUCGAUGCGCCGUAAGGGACACCGUCGACAUGUCGGGGAUACGCUGCGACAGAGCUCAGCAGGAGCACAGCAGAAAUCCACUCCUAACCCUGCUCGCUCGAUUGACAAGAGCAGGGCAACGGAUUGGAUCGAGGGCGCCCUGGCCUCGCCGCCGCUGCCACCUCAAUUCGCUAGCCGCUGCGUGGAGUAACCCUGGCCGCUGCCUCGAGUCACCUCCGUCGCCGCCGUGAGUCACCUCCAUCGUUGCCGCCAGGAAUCCCGCCCUGGCAAGGAAAAUUCCCAAGGAUUUGAUUGAUGGAGGCAUCACUAUUUGGUGUUGGAUUAUCCAUUUUUGCAGCACCAGCAAUGUUCUUUUUGUUUGGAAUGGCCAGUUCUCAAUUUCUAAAUCAGCUACACUAUACUUCUUAUCAGGUUAAAUUAUCUUGCUUUGUUUCAGUCUAUAUGUAGCAUAAAAAUAGGUGACAUGGUUGGUUUGUAUGUUACACUAAGAACACCACCAUAAGGAAAAGGGCAUUGCACUUCUUUGUUUAUAUUUGGUUUGUUCCUAUUCGGUUUGAUGUAGUACUUAAUUGCUACAACAUUUCAAGUUUCUUGUUGUUUCAUUGUAUUCACUUAUGAUAUAUUUUUCAACUAUACAAGCACUUGGGGGAGUCAGGAAAACUGAACCAAAGACAAACACUUUUACCGGUGAUGUUCGGGCUUUUUUUAACUGAGAUGUGAAAGAUGCAUCUUAUCCCUUGAGAUAUAUUGCCUUAAAUCUCUUGAUUUUUUUCCCUGACAUGCUAAUAUAGAGCCAGAUAUGCAUGAUUCAUCAUACACAUUACUGUCAAUUAUCUAUUGGAAUCUUUUGUCCAUAGAGGUGAUUUUGUUUGGAUCAUUAGUCUAGGUAGUGACAUUUUUUAUUGAUAAGGCACAAGUUUAUUUUCUUUUUCACCCGAGCUACACUAAAGUAAGCAUCACCGUCAAUGAAAAGAAGGCAUACAAAUCAUGAAGUUUUUGCCUUGGCUGUGUGCCUCGUUUAAUUGUCACUUAUUUAUUUCUAGGAAGUUAUUCAAUUCUCAUCGAGCUUUCCUUAUGCUUUAAAGAAGAAAUUUAAAUACGCAAUAUUUUUAAUAUCUGAGGAGGCGAGAGGAGAUGAAAAAGGGCUGUAAGGUCGUAUUUUGGUGCGUCUCUGGCCAAUGAUGGCUGGAUCCAUCUGAUGCUCUUCCAAGCAGAGCAGUUCAGAUUUGCUGACUGGUACAACAUCUAAACCUUGGCUACUCUAGCUUCUUUUUACAUCUCUUAGUAUCAACAAAUAAGUUGGUUACAGUAUAUACUUGAAGAUUGCAGCAGGCACAAAAUGCUUGGCUAACCAGCCGGUUAAUUGAGUUGUGCCUACGAAGGAUCAGUAGAGUAGUUGGUUUUUCCUAAAAUAAAUGAGGAUUAGUUUGGUUGCCAUGCGACGGUAAGGCCAAACAUUGGUUCUGUAAUGGUCAUAUGUGUUGUGGAGUUGGAACUUGAUUCUUUUUAAGUUGGAGUGGCUAGGUUGUCUAUAUGUAUUGCAUUAUUUUUCUACGGUGUACUAUUCUUUCUAAAUGAUUUUUUAAAGUUUAGUAUUUAAGUUUACGACAUUAUUCUGCGGUGUACUGUUCUUUCUACAACAUACUGUUAAUAUCUUAUGCUUUUCAACAUUGCACGGUUAAAACCUUCUGUAUAAGAUCUUGCGCUUUCAACAUCUGCUCAUGGCGUUGUGUGUAUUCUGCUAUGAACUGUUUACAUUAUAGAGUUGUGGUACCUACAUUUGUGCGAUUCCUUUUAGCUGAUGUUUGUUGCUCAUACUGACAAAAGGUGCAUUAACAAAUGAUUGCAGAGCAGCGGAGAAACAUGUUUCUACAAAUGUGCCAAAACUGAUGGAUUUAACUACAUGUAUUGAUGUAUUGCAUUAUGCAACUGUAAGUCUGUUCUAAACUCUAAGCCCCAUGUAAAUCUGAUGGAAGAUUGGGCCAUUUAAUUUGAACCAAAAAGGGUGAUAUGCUCUCAGUUGCUUGAAUCUGUCCAGACCUGAAAAUUAGAUGUACUUGAAAGCUUGAUAUAUGAGUAGGAGAUAGUUGAUAAAGGUGUACCUCUUGUAUAACUGAUAUCCCUUUGAUCUUCGUUAAAUUUUGUAGGAUAUGCAUUGUGCUUGAGCAUGAGAAAUCCUUUCCCUCCCUGCAUUAUCUUUAUAUGUUAUAAAAAUGUUACACAUGUUUUGGUCCUCCAAAAGAUUAUUAGCCCAUAAUGUUAAUAACUCUUAUGUAUGAUGAUUGAGUGAAAUAUCCUUUUAUCUCCAGGCAUUUCUUUUAUGUAGUGGAUAUACAAAAUAAACUGUAUGACCUAGACUGUAGGAGCAACUGGUGCUUGUGGGAUUGGUGCUUGCAGUUGUUGUGGCAGCUGUUCUUGAGGGCCGAGCUGAAUGUAUUUGAUAAAGGUCUUUGCUUCAUUUUUUUUCUUUCAACGGGAUAAUGACUUGUCGUUUCAAAACACUUAGUAUGUGACCUAUCCAUCAAAUUAUAAUAUAAUAAUUCAGCAAAAUCCCUUUAUUUGAACGAGCAAGAAUCUGUGGUGUGCUCCUGACCUAUGUUCCCCUUUUCAAAAUGUUAGAAAGGCUAUCUUAACUUAGUCGUUGCAUAGAAAUUGGUUUUGUCUAUUAGGCUCAUUUCAUAUCUGGAUCACUUAUUUGAACGACAAUGAACACUCCACAACUGAACUCACAUAAGAGGGCUGAUAGAUGAUAUCUUGUCUGCUCAGUGAUUACCUAGAAUACUGGACUUUCCACCAACUUACAAAAAUAUUUUUUGCAGGUAUAUUUCAUUAAUCACUCCCCCAGCAGACAUGAGUUCUCGUGGCGGGGUGUUUCAUGCCGUCAUGUUAGGAAUUUAUUAUUGUAUUGCAUAUGAGGUCCUUCUUUAGGUUUCCACUUGUUUCUUACUUAAUUAGCUGUCCAUUCUGGAUUUAACGUGAAUAUUGCCUUUGUAUUGCAUAUUAAAUUCUACUAUUUGUUUUAGCUUC